UACGGAGGGGGCUAGCGUUGUUCGGAAUCACUGGGCGUAAAGGGCGCGUAGGCGGACAUGCAAGUCCUGUGUGAAAUCCCUCGGCUCAACUGAGGAACUGCACAGGAAACUGCUUGGCUUGAGUUCGGGAGAGGGAAGCGGAAUUCCGGGUGUAGCGGUGAAAUGCGUAGAUAUCCGGAGGAACACCGGUGGCGAAGGCGGCUUCCUGGACCGACACUGACGCUGAGGCGCGAAAGCUAGGGGAGCAAACGGG
rnacentral:rRNA from 1 species